GAUUACCAUGCCCUGUUCGUGCUCUGCCUCCUCUAUGCCAUGUCUCAUAAUAAAGGCAUGGAUCCUGAAAAAUUAGAGCGAAUCCAGCUCCCUGUGCCAAAUGCGGCCGAGAAGACCACCUACAACCACCCACUGGCUGAAAGACUCAUCAGGAUCAUGAACAACGCUGCCCAGCCAGAUGGGAGGAUCCGGCUGGCGACGCUGGAGCUGAGCUGCCUGCUUCUGAAGCAGCAAGUCCUGACGAGUGCUGGCUGCAUCAUGAAGGACGUGCACCUGGCCUGCCUGGAGGGUGCGAGAGAAGAAAGUGUUCACCUUGUACGACAUUUUUAUAAGGGAGAAGACAUUUUUUUGGACAUGUUUGAAGAUGAGUACAGGAGCAUGACAGCAGAAUCGCGGGAAGCCAUGGGUUCAGAAGAUCCCAGCUUUCUCUGCUUUGCACGUUUGUCUCUGUUAUCCCAGCACCUGCCCUUCGCUAGGUACUCCAUAAGUAUGUGAUAAAUGAUCCUUCUUGUGGAUAUUACGCACCAAAGCAUGUGUGAUUUGGGAAGUUUAUAAUAAACCGAAGUGUUUUAAGUGUC
rnacentral:sRNA from 1 species